rnacentral:tRNA from 1 species
ACCUGGCUGGCUUAGUCGGUAAAGCAUGUGACUCUUGAAAUCGGAGUUGUGAGUUCAAGCCCCACGCUGGGCA